rnacentral:rRNA from 1 species
UACGUAGGGUGCGAGCGUUGUCCGGAAUUAUUGGGCGUAAAGAGCUCGUAGGCGGUGUGUCGCGUCGGCCGUGAAAACCUGGGGCUCAACUCUGGCGUGCGGUCGAUACGGGCAUCACUUGAGUUCGGCAGGGGAGACUGGAAUUCCUGGUGUAGCGGUGAAAUGCGUAGAGAUCGGAAAGAACACCAACGGCGAAAGCACUCUGCUGGGCCGACACUGACACUGGAGAGACGAAAGCUAGGGGAGCGAAUGGG